AUUGAACGCUGGCGGCAGGCCUAACACAUGCAAGUCGGGCGAACGAGGCUUCGGCCAAGUGAGCGGCGAACGGGUGAGUAACACGUAGGAAUCUGCCUGGUAGUGGGGGACAACGUCUCGAAAGGGACGCUAAUACCGCAUACGCCCUACGGGGGAAAGCAGGGGCUCUUCGGACCUUGCGCUAUCAGAUGAGCCUGCGUCGGAUUAGCUAGUUGGUAGGGUAAAGGCCUACCAAGGCGACGAUCCGUAACUGGUCUGAGAGGAUGAUCAGUCACACCGGAACUGAGACACGGUCCGGACUCCUACGGGAGGCAGCAGUGGGGAAUAUUGGACAAUGGGGGCAACCCUGAUCCAGCCAUGCCGCGUGUGUGAAGAAGGCCUUCGGGUUGUAAAGCACUUUAGGUCGGGAGGAAGGUUCGCUGGCUAAUAUCCAGCGGAAUUGACGUUACCGACAGAAUAAGCACCGGCUAACUCCGUGCCAGCCGCCGCGGUAA
rnacentral:rRNA from 1 species